UUAAGAAAGCGGGUACCGCCUACCGAGCCUAAAAAUAUUAGAUAGUUCUGUCACAGUACAAUUCCUUUGUUCUUUCUACCAAGAUCACUUAAGUAACAUGUUUUCCAAAUUAAUAUUACAGUUUGUUAGUGUUUAAAGCGAUAUGUGUACAUAAAAUAGUUACAAAUACAAUAAUAGUAAAACGAGAUGUAAAACGAAAUACUUGUACAACUAAUACGAGAAUUAAAACCAGUGUUUUUACGAGAAAAUAAACGUGUGUGAUUACGAGUCAAUGUAUCAUUUACAACAUGCUCUAAACUUAAUAUU